rnacentral:misc_RNA from 1 species
CACCACUCCAGCCUGGCUGGGUAUUGGGCGCCGCGGUUCGCCGCGCGCCUUAAAGUCUUUCCGGCUGAGCGACCCGUCUCUAAGCGUUGUGAUCUCAUCAUUCGCGGCGAGCGCGGGGCGUCGGCGGCCGUUAAAUCUUUCUCCA